CGAUGUUGACGAUGAUGAUGAUGAUGAUGAUGAUGAUGAUCAUCAUCAUCAUCAUCAUCAUCAUCAUAACAA
rnacentral:pre_miRNA from 1 species